rnacentral:lncRNA from 1 species
AUGCUACAAUCUGGUGGCAACCACAGGAGUGACCUUGAACCUCAGGGGCAGCUCGGGUGGAAGAGCUAUGAGGAGCAGAGGAUCAGAUCAUCAUUAACCAGGACUGCCAAGGAAGCCGUGUGUUUACUGGUUGUCUUCUUGAAGAAUUCAAGCGUGGGGGUGGCAGCGGUGCUGGGAAGUAGGCUGGAUCAUGCCCAACUUGAUCCCAGCAAUGAUCUUGUGCCUACCAGAGGGCAGCGCAUUAACCCUUUAUCUAUUUCCUUUGUUGUUUGGUAAGGAGAGAAAAGUGGAGAAAAUACAUCCUGUACCAUUUCCUAUCUCAACAGACAUCUUUAAAAAUGCAACAGCUUUGCUUAGAAGAACAACAUGUAUUUUAGAAAAUCUACCUUGCUUUAUGUAUCAGAUACUUUCGUAACGCUGUGCCUUAUAAAAGGGGAUUCUAUUUUAAAUACACAUAGAGGAGCUGACUAUAUGAGGGAACCUUGGGUGAGACCAUUGUAAAGCAAAUAAUCCCUCUCUGAAUAAAUCUGUCUUUAAAUCUGGAUUUUCA